rnacentral:rRNA from 1 species
UACGUAGGGUGCGAGCGUUGUCCGGAAUUACUGGGCGUAAAGCGCGCGUAGGUGGUUUGUUAAGUUGGAUGUGAAAGCCCCGGGCUCAACCUGGGAACUGCAUCCAAAACUGGCAAGCUAGAGUACGGUAGAGGGUGGUGGAAUUUCCUGUGUAGCGGUGAAAUGCGUAGAUAUAGGAAGGAACACCAGUGGCGAAGGCGACCACCUGGACUGAUACUGACACUGAGGUGCGAAAGCGUGGGGAGCAAACAGG